CGUCUGUCUCGCCGCACUCUUCUCGUCUGUCUCGCCUCACUCUUCUCGUCAGUCUCGCCUCACUCUUCUCGUCUGUCUCGCCUCACUCGUCUCGUCUGUCUCGCCUCACUCUUCUCGUCUGUCUCGCCUCACUCUUCUCGUCUGUCUCGCCUCACUCUUCUCGUCUGUCUCGCCUCACUGGUCUCGUCAGUCUCGCCUCACUCGUCUCGUCUGUCUCGCCUCACUCUUCUCGUCUGUCUCGCCUCACUGGUCUCGUCAGUCCCGCCUCCCCCGUCUCGUCUCGUCUGUCUCGCCUCCCUCGUCUCAUCUCGUCUGUCUCGCCUCACUCAUCUCGUCUGUCUCGCCUCACUCUUCUCGUCUGUCUCGCCUCACUCUUCUCGUCUGUCUCGCCUCACUCGUCUCGUCAGUCUCGCCGCACUCUUCUCGUCUGUCUCGCCUCACUCGUCUCGUCAGAAUCGCCUCACUCUUCUCGUCUGUCUCGCCGCACUCUUCUCGUCUGUCUCGCCUCACUCGUCUCGUCUGUCUCGCCUCACUCGUCUCGUCUGUCUCGCCUCACUCGUCUCGUCUGUCUCGCCUCACUCGUCUCGUCUGUCUCGCCUCACUCGUCUCGUCUGUCUCGCCUCACUCGUCUCGUCUGUCUCGCCUCACUCGUCUCGUCUGUCUCGCCUCACUCGUCUCGUCUGUCUCGCCUCACUCGUCUCGUCUGUCUCGCCUCACUCGUCUCGUCUGUCUCGCCUCACUCGUCUCGUCUGUCUCGCCUCACUCGUCUCGUCUGUCUCGCCUCACUCGUCUCGUCUGUCUCGCCUCACUCGUCUCGUCUGUCUCGCCUCACUCGUCUCGUCUGUCUCGCCUCACUCGUCUCGUCUGUCUCGCCUCACUCGUCUCGUCUGUCUCGCCUCACUCGUCUCGUCUGUCUCGCCUCACUCGUCUCGUCUGUCUCGCCUCACUCGUCUCGUCUGUCUCGCCUCACUCGUCUCGUCUGUCUCGCCUCACUCGUCUCGUCUGUCUCGCCUCACUCGUCUCGUCUGUCUCGCCUCACUCGUCUCGUCUGUCUCGCCUCACUCGUCUCGUCUGUCUCGCCUCACUCGUCUCGUCUGUCUCGCCUCACUCGUCUCGUCUGUCUCGCCUCACUCGUCUCGUCUGUCUCGCCUCACUCGUCUCGUCUGUCUCGCCUCACUCGUCUCGUCUGUCUCGCCUCACUCGUCUCGUCUGUCUCGCCUCACUCGUCUCGUCUGUCUCGCCUCACUCGUCUCGUCUGUCUCGCCUCACUCGUCUCGUCUGUCUCGCCUCACUCGUCUCGUCUGUCUCGCCUCACUCGUCUCGUCUGUCUCGCCUCACUCGUCUCGUCUGUCUCGCCUCACUCGUCUGUCUCGCCUCACUCUUCUCGUCUGUCUCGCCUCACACUUCUCGUCUGUCUCGCCUCACUC
rnacentral:lncRNA from 1 species